rnacentral:lncRNA from 1 species
UUUAUGGACAAAUUCAGACACGCUGUAGUUGUGCUAUUGCAUGCAAUGUGCAUAUUUGUCUGCUUUGUACACCCAGACUGUCAGAGCUUCUUUUAGGGAUGAAAACCUUCAGCUUCAUUUAAAACCAGAAGAUGGCAUUCUUGAGAAAAGAUUUGCAAAGAGAGAAAACACGUUUUAUUAGACCCGAGGCAAAUUUUGCCCUAAUCUGUACCAGAUCAAUUUCUUUCGUGACUGACUUUCCCACCUUUUGAUCUUCAAUAAAUAAUUAUUGCUGGGUGCAUGAGGGCUCUGAGGGUGACGUGUUCUCCCUGCCCAGUGUGCAGCCCAAGUCAUGAGCAAGGUCCUUCACAGCACCCUUCAGAAAGUGCUGCCAGCUCUGCUAAGUCCCAUCCUCCUCCCAUCCUUGUUUCCCAGAGAUCAUUUCCUCCUCCCUCUCCUCCUCCACCUCCUCCGCCUCCUCCUUCUUCCCAGUGCACUGUAACAGAUUUCACAGUUUUGCCACACAAAGGAGCUUUCAGACUGAUGAAAAGCAGCAUUUCCAGCCAUUCCUGGGUCUAUGCAGAGGUGCUGCUGGAAGCCUCCCUGUCCCAGCCUGGCAGCUCUAUAUAUGAUGAUCCUGGAUCCCAGUGAUCUCCAGAAGACAGGGACGUUGACUGGAGAGAGAGCUUGGUCAGCACUGCACUCGUGGAAAUCACUCCCCACAGUUAUCAGGACCGAAGAUGUCGGUGUUGUGGACUGUUGUCCUCCUCAACAGCCUGCUGAUCCCUUCGCAAGGACUCGGACUCUUGCCUUUGGCUGCCAGAGCAGAUAUGAAUGGUAAGUAUAUGUAACAGACAGAUCUAUCCUUUUGAGGCCAGUUCUUCUCUUUUUGUCUCUUGACCAUGCUCAGAAAAUCAGAAGCUGGUGCAGAUCAGCCCAGCAGUAGUGGCAAUGUGAGUAAUUUACAUUUAUAAAGCACUUUGGAGAUGGCACUUCAGUUAUUUUACUGUGGCUGGUGCCACCACCUCUUUCGUAUGAAAGACAAGGGAGGGGAGGGAAGAGCCAGACUGGCACACCUUGUAAGCUGAGUCCAUGCAGCUCACAGUGA